UGGAUAACUGGGAUCGGUUUAAAGAGCGAUGUUUACCAGAAAAAAAAGAGUUUUACAGCUCCCUUACAAAUGAGCAUAUUACUGAUGAAGAUUAUGAACAUGCUCAAUCAGUUUGGUCACAAUUUAACAUCAAAAAUCUGGGUCAAUACACUAAAUUGUAUUUGAAAACAGACGUUCUCUUGUUAACUGAUAUUUUUGAAAAGUUUAGAAAAACUUGCAAAUUUCAUUAUCAAUUAGAUCCUGCUUUCUAUGUAACCGCUCCUAGUUUAUCAUUCGAUGCAAUGCUUUACAAAACUGGAGUCGAGUUGGAGCUCAUAGAUGACCUUGCCAUAGUGCGUAUGAUUCAAUCAGGCAUCAGAGGAGGAGUAUGCAUGUGUUCGCACAGGCAUGCCAACGCCAAUAACAAAUACAUGAACGAAUACGAUCCCUUAAAACCAGAUACCUUUGUAGUUUACAUAGAUUGCAAUAACUUAUACGGAUUCAGUAUGUGUCAAUCUCUACCGCUGUCGAAUUUUAGAUUUUUAAACCAGACAGAAAUUGAAUGUCUCGAUAUUGUUAAUGUUCCUGCUGAUGCAGAGUAUGGUUUCAUUCUUGAGGUUGACUUAAGCUAUCCGAAAGAGUUACAUGACAGGCACAAUGAUUUACCAUUUUGUCCUGAGAAAUGCAUUCCACCGGGGGGUAAGACUUUUAAGCUCGUGCCUAAUCUUUACGACAAGUACUUCUACGUCAUCCACUAUGUUCACUUGAAAACAUGUUUGAAACAUGGGCUGAUAUUAAAAAAAAUACAUCGAGUCAUAACGUUUCAACAAAGUCCUUACUUAAAACAAUAUAUCGAUCUAAAUACGAGUUUAAGACAACAGGCUCAAUCUACAUUUGAACAAGACUUUUUUAAGUUGCUCAAUAACAGCAUUUUUGGUAAAACCUUAGAAAACAGCGAAAAAAGAGUUAAUGUACAUUUAGUUAACGAAUGGAGUGACCACAAUAAUGUAACAAAAAAGAAAAUAACUGCCAAUAAAUUAAUUGCAAGCUCUAGUUUUCACAGUGUUUCAAUUUUCACUGAAAAUUUAGUCGCAAUACAAACAAAACCUGAACGGGUGAUUUUGGAUAAGCCAAUAUACAUAGGGUUUACGGUGUUAGAGUUAUCUAAAAGCCACAUGUAUGACUUUCAUUAUUCAGUUUUUGAACCAUCGUAUAAAAACAAAUUACAAAUGUGUUACACGGAUACGGAUAGUUUCGUUUACCAAAUUGAAACCGAAAACUUUUACAAAGAUUUAAAAGAAACCUUCUUACAUUAUUUCGACACAAGCAAUUUUUUCAAAGAAAAUGUAUAUGGCUUACCGCUUCUAAAUAAAAAGAUUCCUGGACUUUUCAAAGACGAAAUGGGAGGAAACAUUAUAACAGAGUUUGUUGGAUUACGUUCAAAGUUGUAUUGUGUAAAGACCAUUAAUACUACAAUUAAAAAAGCAAAGGGAGUAAAGAAGAGUGUUGUUCGCGAUAUACAAAUAUCAGACUAUAAAAAAACUUUGUAUCACGGCAAUAUAGUGCGGAAAACAAAUAUUUUAUUUAAGUCAAUCAAACACAACAUUUUUACUCGCAGUCUCAACAAAGUAGCGCUAUCCAGUAAUGAUGAUAAACGUUUUGUUUCGGCUGACAAGGUGUCAACAAGAGCUUGGGGGCAUACAUCCAUUCUAAACAUUUAACUAAGCAUAACAUUGAACCAAGAAUUAGGUAAUUAAAAUUAAAUUAUAAUACUUUCCUUAGUUGUACGAUUUUCUUUAUUAUAAUAGAUAACCUAAGCUAAUUAAGAUAAUAUUAAGUUUCAAAUAAAUGUAAUUAAUUAAUAAGGUACCUACCUAUAAAUAAAUGAUGACAAAUUAUUUACUUGGGUUUUAUUUCUUAUACGUAAAGACAUUGGUUCACAUUAACUCAAUAAGAUCAUGUUUAGACAUGUUUUAAAGUGUGAUAUUAAUCAUCGCAUAGAAACGGUGAGAUCGUAAUAUGACAUCGAUCACACGUUAGGAAUCAAUUUACUACAUUUAUUUUGCAACGCUGAGGAAACUUUUACAGGUUUGGACAUGAAGUUAAUUAAUAGCACGUGGCAUAGCCGGUGCGUCUCAUGUUACCUAUUUGAUAUAAGCAACCAAUAGAUUUUAUUUAGUUAUCAAUUCGACUUUGUUGCGUUCAAACUUGUUUGGGUUAAAAGUUAAAAUGGCUCAACGUAGUCACAGUCAUCUUACCUCACCACAAGCCAGCUACGUUCUUUCAAUCGAUAGUAGAGUCCCCAAGCACGUAAUUAAAAUUGAAAUUAUGGAAGCAGUGGAAGUGUCAAACGAUGAAGUGGACAUUCAAAGUCGUGCAAAAACUCAAUACAUUGUGUACGAAAAUUGUGAUGAUGUAUAUUUUAGCGCGCUGCAACUGAUGUCACACAUCAGUUCCAAACUGCGAGACCGCAACGAAAGACCUACCUUGUGAGUGGGAAAUAAUUAAUUAUCAAUCAGAAAAUGACUGACGUAUAUGAUGAUUUUCCUCAAUACGCUCAAGACCCGUUACAACAGUUCACUCAGCAAUACAAAGAUUUAUUUGGGGUGGAAUCGACGCAAAUUGAUCAAAAACGUAAAAAACGAGUUUCUCCAAAAAAUAAUAAGCGGAUAACUCCAAAAUCUUUUGUGGUGUGUAACGAACAGAAAGGCUUCAAAAUGAUCCAGAUAAAGGUGGUGGACCUGGUCUGCGAGCGUGACCGAGCAAAUUCGAACUCAUCAUCAUCUACGUCAGAUGCUGACAGCGAGUGCGUGUUACUUAGUGCCCAAUACGUAGUCCAUGACGCAGUGGACGAAAUAAUGGAUAUGACAGAAUGUGUAAUUAAAAAGAUAUCAAAAAAGUUAACUGGUUCUAACUUUUAAUUGAUUAUGUUUUUUAAUAUAGUUGUAAAUGUAAUGAAAUAAAUUAUUAUGCAAAAA